UACGUAGGGUGCGAGCGUUAAUCGGAAUUACUGGGCGUAAAGUGUGCGCAGGCGGCGCCGCAAGUCGAGUGUGAAAUCCCCGAGCUUAACUUGGGAAUUGCGCUCGAAACUACGACGCUGGAGUAUGGCAGAGGAAGGUGGAAUUCCACGUGUAGCGGUGAAAUGCGUAGAGAUGUGGAGGAACACCGAUGGCGAAGGCAGCCUUCUGGGCCAAUACUGACGCUCAUGCACGAAAGCGUGGGGAGCAAACAGG
rnacentral:rRNA from 1 species